GAACGCUGGCGGCGUGCUUAACACAUGCAAGUCGAACGAUGAACCACUUCGGUGGGGAUUAGUGGCGAACGGGUGAGUAACACGUGGGCAAUCUGCCCUGCACUCUGGGACAAGCCCUGGAAACGGGGUCUAAUACCGGAUACGAGCCUGGGAGGCAUCUCCCGGGUUGGAAAGCUCCGGCGGUGCAGGAUGAGCCCGCGGCCUAUCAGCUUGUUGGUGAGGUAACGGCUCACCAAGGCGACGACGGGUAGCCGGCCUGAGAGGGCGACCGGCCACACUGGGACUGAGACACGGCCCAGACUCCUACGGGAGGCAGCAGUGGGGAAUAUUGCACAAUGGGCGAAAGCCUGAUGCAGCGACGCCGCGUGAGGGAUGACGGCCUUCGGGUUGUAAACCUCUUUCAGCAGGGAAGAAGCGAGAGUGACGGUACCUGCAGAAGAAGCGCCGGCUAACUACGUGCCAGCAGCCGCGGUAAUACGUAGGGCGCAAGCGUUGUCCGGAAUUAUUGGGCGUAAAGAGCUCGUAGGCGG
rnacentral:rRNA from 1 species